CGAGAGGCCACAGAACCUUUAGGAUUAUCGUGCGUACCUGAUUAAGUUUGAGAUAACUCUUGAAAAUUCAUUACACACGUCUGUAUGCGCACGUGAGCGCUCAGUAGUAUAUGUGCCUUGAUGGCUUGUGAUUCCCUGACCGAGGAGUGAGAGGUAGUCUGCGUGAGUUCAUGUUGGGCUAGUCUGGAGGACUCGAGACCAGAUA
rnacentral:lncRNA from 1 species